rnacentral:rRNA from 1 species
UUACGGAAGGCAGCAGUGAGGAAUUUUCCACAAUGGGCGAAAGCCUGAUGGAGCAACGCCGCGUGCAGGAUGAAGGCCUUCGGGUCGUAAACUGCUUUUAUGUGCGAAGAAUAUGACGGUAACACAUGAAUAAGGGUCGGCUAACUACGUGCCAGCAGCCGCGGUCAUACGUAGGACCCAAGCGUUAUCCGGAUUUACUGGGCGUAAAGAGUUGCGUAGGUGGUUUAUUAAGUGGAGCGUGAAAGCGUGUGGCUCAACCAUACAGCUGCGUUCCAAACUGAUUAACUUGAGUAUGAGAGGGGUAGAUGGAAUUUCUAGUGUAGGAGUGAAAUCCGUAGAUAUUAGAAGGAACACCGAUAGCGUAGGCAGUCUACUGGCUCAUUACUGACACUAAGGCACGAAAGCGUGGGGAGCAAACGGGAUUAGAUACCCGAGUAGUCU